AUGAACGCUGGCGACGUGUUUAAGGCAUGCAAGUCGAAUGCUAAGUUAAUUGUAGCAAUACAGUUGAUGAGGCAUGGCAAACGGGUGCGUAACACAUUGAUAAUCUACCUCGGGGACGAGAAUAACUCUGCGAAAGCGGAGAUAAUACUCGAUAUUAGUGAGGGGGCAUAUGCCAUUCUCACUUAAAGUUCCGGCGCCCCGAGAGGAGUCUAUGGCCUAUCAGCUAGUUGGUGAGGUAAAAGCUCACCAAGGCAAUGACGGGUAGCGGGUGUGAGAGCACGACCCGCCUCACUGGGACUGAGACACUGCCCAGACUCCUACGGGAGGCUGCAGUCAAGAAUAUUCCUCAAUGGCCGAAAGGCUGAAGGAGCGACGUCGCGUGAUUGAAGAAGUCCUUCGGGAUGUAAAAAUCUUUUCUUAGGGAAGAAAUCUGACGGUACCUAAGGAAUAAGGGGCUGCUAACUUCGU
rnacentral:rRNA from 1 species